AGAGUUUGAUCCUGGCUCAGGACGAACGCUGGCGGCGUGCCUAAUACAUGCAAGUCGAACGAACCGCGACUAAGUGCUUGCACUUGAUCAAGGUGAGUGGCGAACGGGUGAGUAACACGUGGGUAACCUACCUCAUAGUGGGGGAUAACAGUCGGAAACGACUGCUAAUACCGCAUAGGACAUGGAAUCACAUGAUUCAGUGAGGAAAGGUGGCGCAAGCUAUCGCUAAGAGAUGGACCCGCGGUGCAUUAGCUAGUUGGUAGGGUAAAGGCCUACCAAGGCGAUGAUGCAUAGCCGACCUGAGAGGGUGAUCGGCCACAUUGGGACUGAGACACGGCCCAAACUCCUACGGGAGGCAGCAGUAGGGAAUCUUCCGCAAUGGACGCAAGUCUGACGGAGCAACGCCGCGUGAGUGAAGAAGGUCUUCGGAUCGUAAAGCUCUGUUGUUAGAGAAGAACAGCGCAUAGAGUAACUGUUAUGCGUGUGACGGUAUCUAACCAGAAAGCCACGGCUAACUACGUGCCAGCAGCCGCGGUAAUACGUAGGUGGCGAGCGUUGUCCGGAUUUAUUGGGCGUAAAGGGAGUGUAGGCGGUCUUUUAAGUCUGAUGUGAAAGCCCACGGCUCAACCGUGGAGGGUCAUUGGAAACUGGGAGACUUGAGUGCAGAAGAGGAGAGCGGAAUUCCAUGUGUAGCGGUGAAAUGCGUAGAUAUAUGGAGGAACACCAGUGGCGAAGGCGGCUCUCUGGUCUGUAACUGACGCUGAGGCUCGAAAGCGUGGGGAGCAAACAGGAUUAGAUACCCUGGUAGUCCACGCCGUAAACGAUGAGUGCUAAGU
rnacentral:rRNA from 1 species